rnacentral:misc_RNA from 1 species
UUGAAUGCAGCCUUGAUGGGUUGUUGCUGGCUCUAAACCUGAGCAUGUGCACGCCUGUCUUGACUUCUAAUUCAUCCACCUGUGCACCUUUUGUAGUCUUUCGGAGGGCUGGGGAGACUGGCAGCUCAGGCUGUCAGCUCAAACCUCCCACUGGGGGCUAUGUUUUUUAUCACAUACCACUUAGAAUGUAACAGAAUGUUGUCAAUGGGCACUCUGUGGCCUAUAUGAAAAACUAUA